ACAUACCGCCACUGUUCUACGAGAGGAUACGGACCAUGACUGACGUCAAGGACGACGAGGGCAUUCCAUUGGAUCUUCCCUUAUUCUGGUGGGCCGUGCUUCGUCAAUUCGCGACAAUCCUGUCACAACGAGGCUGUCUGUACGAAAAAAACGCCAAACAUCGACGUACCCUUGGCUACGGCACCGACAAAGUUUGG